CCUCUUAAAAGUGCUUAUCUAACAUGUUUUUCAAUCUCUUCCUCGACCAAAUCCAAUCUGUGGCAGAGCAUGGUGAUUAUUGGAACAAGCGAAUGAGAAUGAAGUUAAGAGAAACGAAAGAUACAUGAAGAUGAUGCCGACACAGAUUCAUGAUGGAAUUUGGUUUCUGAGAUUCUUAAAUACUGUAACUCCAGAAACCUGGCUGUCCUACAUUAAAAGUUGUAUUAAUUAAGUGGUCCAAAAGUAAACAAUUGUACUGCAGUUUUGCCAGAGCCACUUUCGUUCGCACCGGAAGCUUUAGAAGCCAAUCCAGACAAUGGUAAAAAAGGUCAUCAUGUAGCACUUGCUUUCGGUGCAAGUUUUGGUGCUGCAUUUGUUAUUGUUACUAUAGUUGGGCUUCUUGUUUGGUUUUUGGUAUAGACACAACCAACAGAUAUUCUUCGAUAUUAAUGAGCAUUACGAUCCAGAAGUCCGCCUUGGUCAUUUGAAAAGAUAUUCAUUCAAAGAGCUUCGUACUGCAACCGACCAUUUCAACCCAAAGCACAUUCUAGGAAGAGGAGGCUUUGGAAUAGUUUACAAAGCUUGCUUGAAUGACGGGUCCGUUGUGGCUGUUAAACGGCUAAAAGACUAUAAUGCGGCUGGUGGUGAGAUCCAAUUUCAA